GACGAACGCUGGCGGCGUGCUUAACACAUGCAAGUCGAACGGAAAGGCCCUGCUUGCAGGGUACUCGAGUGUCGAACGGGUGAGUAACACGUGGGUGAUCUGCCCUGCACUUCGGGAUAAGCCUGGGAAACUGGGUCUAAUACCGGAUAGGAGCCAUUUUUAGUUUUAUGGUUGGUAAGUUUUUUCGGUGUAGUAUGAGCUCGCGGCCUAUCUGCUUGUUUGUGGGGUAAUGGCCUACCAAGGCGGCGACGGGUAGCCGGGCUGAGAGGGUGGACGGCGAAAAUGGGAAUGAGAUAAGGCACAGACACAGACGGGAGGAAGAAGUGGGGAAUAUUGAAAAAUGGGCGCAAGCCUGAUGCAGAGAAGCCGAGUGGGGGAUGAAGGGCUUCGGGUUGGAAACUAGUUUCGCUAGGGAAGAAGCUUUUUGUGACGGUACCUAGAUAAGAAGCACCGGCUAACUACGUG
rnacentral:rRNA from 1 species